GGUGACGGCCACACGGGGAAGCCCCGCUCCAAGUCUCCGAGACAGAAAUCAUGUUGCACGCGGGCCACUGGAGACGGUGGAAUCAGAACUUCUGGGCAGGCGGUGUAGAGAGUUCAACCAUGUGUCCCCCGUGCAAGCUGCUGUGUUUACAGGACUGUCUGUCAGCUUUUAAAGCGCUGCUCCUGAACUGGAUUUCCCCUGAUGGUACUUUCUGUUGUUACAGAAGUUAUUAGUAUUUAUUUCAAUUUUGGUAUAAAGUUGUUGUUAUGCUUUACUGUGUAUUCUUUUUGUGUUUUAACUUAACAGCCUGCACUAAUGUGAAUACCACCCAUCUAUGGGGUCACGUCUGGAACCUUGUAACCCUGAGCCAUUAAAUGUCAGUUAAAUUGAAGAGA